UCAAUUCAAGGUCAUAUGGUUUGCUGAGUUCCCACUUGAUGAAUACUAUUUUGACAUAAGGACUGGAGGGAUGAAAGGGGGAAAUGAUGAGGAGACUGACCAAAAGCAAGUACCCCAGAUACUGCUAUCAGAGAAGCAGUCAGGUUGGAAUGUCAUGGAAGAUGGAUGAACUGCAUUCCAGUACAAGCCCAGAAACUUGGGAAAAUAUAACCCGCAUGGAAGAGAGCAAUGUUUCUUUUCAGCUGUGAAAAUCAAUUCACAGAAACAAAAACUAGGAGAAAAGUAACAUGGUACUUUGCAUUCAGUGACUCCACUGUCACUAAAAAUAAUACAACUGAUGCUGCAUUUUUCUUCUCUCCAUAACAAAUGGCCUAACUGCAUUUGGUAAUUGCAUAUGACUGAAAAUAAUGUAAUUGAAAAUGAACUGUGGCUUUGCUUUUUGCAAAUGCAGGCACCUUGGGUUUCUCAUUUGUUUCUUAUAUUUAUUCUUGCCACUAUGAUGAGAGGAAGUUCCUCAACACUUAAGAUUCCCCUCCAUGGAAAUCCAUGGGGUCACACUGUCACCAUUAAGUGUCAACAAGCCAGGAAUAAUUUGAUGUUAUCCCUUGAGUUUUUUCACUUAUUAUUUCUCAAAAAAAAGCAAUUUAUCACCAUUAUCAUCAGCAUAAUAAUUCUUGUAAUCUGUGUGUUAAAGCAUCUACAAAGCAACUCCAUUUACAAUCUCUCACUUGAUUCUCUCAAAAAGCAUGAAGUGAAAAAAGACAUUUUUAAUUGCUUAUGAAAAAACAAAUUCAGAGAAGCUAAGUGACUUUCCUAGAUUGCAUAUUUGACGAACCAGAGCUUGAACCUUCAGUAUUUCUUCACUAAAGUGUCUAUCCAAAGACAAUUAAUUUUUUAAAACACUCAUAAUAAAUACACCUUUAGGAUACAUGAGGGAUGCAGUCAUGAGGAACAGGGUUUUAUUACAAUAGGAACAUUUUAAAUUAAAUAAGGGAAAUCUCAAAGUUAAGAAGGUAGAGUGCAGCUAAAUCAGGAAUAUCCCCCCCCCCCAGAAUAAAUAAAAAAGGGAUAAAAGUUAAUGACCACAAAAACAAGAAAGAAACUGUUUAAAACUACCCAAAUACAUCAUCAGAAGCAGCAGCCAGCAGUAAGGAUAAUAAAGUUAAACUACAAAUCAAAAAGUAGUGACCAAGAACAGAUCCAGAAGAUUCAGUACAGCAGGCUGAGUGGUACAGGCCCAUACCCGCACCCAAAUACUAGGAACAGUACUGAAGAAAGAGUUUGGAUGGAUACAAGCCUAAGAAUUCACACUGUAAAUAGCCUCCAAAUUGGAAAGGAGCAGGCUGGCAGGGAACCGUGGAGCAAGCAGACCUGCAAGAUGUCAAGUAGUAUUUCA